rnacentral:tRNA from 1 species
UGGACGCUUAGCUCAGCUGGGAGAGCAUCUGCCUUACAAGCAGGAGGUCACAGGUUCGAUCCCUGUAGCGUCCAU